rnacentral:rRNA from 1 species
AUUGAACGCUGGCGGCAGGCCUAACACAUGCUAGUCGAACGAGUGGCUGACGGGUGAGUAAUGUCUGGGACACUGCCCGAUGGAGGGGGAUAACUACUGGAAACGGUAGCUAAUACCGCAUACCAUCGGAUGUGCCCAGUUGGGAUUAGCUCGUAGGUGGGGUAACGGUUCACCUAGGCGACGAUCCCUAGCUGGUCUGAGAGGAUGACCAGCCACGCUGGAACUGAUACAGUGUCCGGACUCCAGCGUGGGACAGCAGUGGAGAAUAUUGCACAAUGGUAGCAAGCCUGAUGCGGCCAUGCCUCGUGUAUGAAGAAGGCCUGCGGGUUGUAAAGUACGGUCAGCGAGAUGGCGUUGCUCGCAGGAGAGGCACCGGCGAACUCCGUGCAGGCAGCCGCGGUAAUAC